rnacentral:miRNA from 1 species
UUUGGAAGGCUGAGGCAAGAGGAUCGCUUGAGGCCACGGGUUUGAGACCAGCCUGGGCAACAAAGUGAGACCUCCGUCUCUAC